UACGUAAGGGGCAAGCGUUGUCCGGAAUUACUGGGCGUAAAGGGUACGCAGGCGGUCUGGCCAGUCAGAGGUGAAAGCUAUCGGCUUAACCGAUAAAGUGCCUUUGAAACUGUUAGACUUGAGGACAGGAGAGGAAAGUGGAAUUCCCGGUGUAGUGGUGAAAUACGUAGAUAUCGGGAAGAAUACCAAUGGCGAAAGCAGCUUUCUGGCCUGUCACUGACGCUGAGGUACGAAAGCUAGGGCAGCAAACGGG
rnacentral:rRNA from 1 species